rnacentral:rRNA from 1 species
GGGCCGGGGCCUUCCCUUGCUAGUCGAGCGGCAGCACGAGAGAGCUUGCUCUCUUGGUGGCGAGUGGCGGACGGGUGAGUAAUGUAUCGGAACGUGCCCAGUAGCGGGGGAUAACUACUCGAAAGAGUGGCUAAUACCGCAUACGCCCUACGGGGGAAAGGGGGGGAUCCCAAGACCUCUCACUAUUGGAUCGGCCGAUGUCGGAUUAGCUAGUUGGUGGGGUAAAGGCCUACCAAGGCGACGAUCCGUAGCUGGUUUGAGAGGACGACCAGCCACACUGGGACUGAGACACGGCCCAAACUCCUACGGGAGGCAGCAGUGGGGAAUUUUGGACAAUGGGGGAAACCCUGAUCCAGCCAUCCCGCGUGUGUGAUGAAGGCCUUCGGGUUGUAAAGCACUUUUGACAGGGAAGAAAUGACAAGGGCUAAUAACCUCUGUCUAUGACGGUACCUGUAGAAUAAGCACCGGCUAACUACGUGCCAGCAGCCGCGGUAAUACGUAGGGUGCAAGCGUUAAUCGGAAUUACUGGGCGUAAAGCGUACGCACGCGGCUAUGAAAGAUAGAUGUGAAAUCCCAGGGCUCAACCUUGGGAACUGCAUUUUUAACUACCUAACUAGAGUAUGUCAGAGGGGGGUAGAAUUCCAUGUGUAGCAGUGAAAUGCGUAGAGAUGUGGAGGAAAUACCGAUGGCCAAGGCAGCCCCCCUGAGAUAAUACUGACGCUCAUGUACGAAAGCGUGGGGAGCAACAGGAUUAGAUACCCCUGCUAGUCCACGCCCUAAACGAUGUCAACUAGCUGUUGGGUCCGCUAAGACUGACUACCGCAGCUUACGCGUGAAGUGGACCGCUUGGGAGUACGGUCCGCAGAUUAAAACUCGAUGAUUGACGGACCCGCACAUCGUGAUGAGUUGGAUAAUCCGAUGCACGGAAACCUACCUACGUUGACAGUUCCUAGCAC